GAGAGUUUGAUUCUGGCUCAGGAUGAACGCUAGCUACAGGCUUAACACAUGCAAGUCGAGGGGCAGCAUGAGCUUAGCUUGCUAAGCUGAUGGCGACCGGCGCACGGGUGAGUAACGCGUAUCCAACUUCCCUUAGUAGGGCAUAGCCGGUGAAAAUCGGAUUAAUACCCUAUGUUCUUCACAGCGGACAUCUAACGUGAAGCAAAGGUUCACCGCUAAGGGAUGGGGAUGCGUCUGAUUAGGUAGUCGGCGGGGUAACGGCCCACCGAGCCAUCGAUCAGUAGGGGUUCUGAGAGGAAGGUCCCCCACAUUGGAACUGAGACACGGUCCAAACUCCUACGGGAGGCAGCAGUGAGGAAUAUUGGUCAAUGGUCGAGAGACUGAACCAGCCAAGUAGCGUGCCAGGAUGACGGCCCUAUGGGUUGUAAACUGCUUUUAUGCGGGGAUAAAGUCACCCACGUGUGGGUGUUUGCAGGUACCGCAUGAAUAAGGACCGGCUAAUUCCGUGCCAGCCGCUGC
rnacentral:rRNA from 1 species